UCGCCUUCUUGAUGUUGUUGUGAUUUUCCUCCAGGUCUGCUGUUGUGAUGGCCGAAGGAAGAGCAAGGAGGGGGAGGAGGGAUGGCAGAGGAGGUUAACAUCUAUAACUUUUAUUAUGAAGCUAAGCUUCUAGACACACAUCUGAUCUAGUAGUUAUUUGUAUGAGUUGACAAGACAUUCGACAUGAAGCUAUUAGAAUACACCCCGUUCGAUUGUGUAAAUGUGUUCUUUGAUCAACCAAACCUUGGUGAAUGUGCAAUCAGGGGGA